GAUGAACGCUAGCGGCAGGCUUAACACAUGCAAGUCGAGGGGUAACAUUGGUGCUUGCACCAGAUGACGACCGGCGCACGGGUGCGUAACGCGUAUGCAACCUACCUUUUACUGGGGGAUAGCCCGAAGAAAUUCGGAUUAAUACCGCAUAACAAUUUUAAACUGCAUGGUUUAAAAUUUAAAACUACGGUGGUAAAAGAUGGGCAUGCGUGACAUUAGCUAGUUGGUGAGGUAACAGCUCACCAAGGCGACGAUGUCUAGGGGUUCUUAAAGGAGGUCCCCCACACUGGUACUGAGACACGGACCAGACUCCUACGGGAGGCAGCAGUGAGGAAUAUUGGUCAAUGGACGGAAGUCUGAACCAGCCAUGCCGCGUGCAGGAUGACUGCCCUAUGGGUUGUAAACUGCUUUUAUACAGGGAGAACACUACUCUUGCGAGAGUAACUGACGGUACUGUAUGAAUAAGGAUCGGCUAACUCCGUGCCAGCCGCCGCGGUAA
rnacentral:rRNA from 1 species